ACAGAUUAUUUAUCAUUUUAACACCUUCUGAAAACAUUGAUAAAAGAAGAAUUAUUGAAAAAAAGAAAUUUGCAAUUGAAAUUUCAAAAAGGAAAAGAAAACAAAAGAUUUAAAAAAAAAUUAAACAAACUUAAGCAGGAUAUAAUGCCUUCUUUCAAAUUUUUCUCUAUAAUAAAAAUGAUGAAAUUUCCGGAAAAAAAGACGACAAUACUAAAUACAUGAAAUAUGAGAAAUAGUAUAAUCAGAAAUGUAAUUAAAAAAAGACGAUUGAUUUCAUGUUUGAUUUAUAAGAAACAAUUUCAUGAAGAAUGUUCAAAAUUUUUGAAUAUAUACACACAGUGUGGAAAUGUUUUAUCCAAAAAAAAAAAGGUAAUAAUUUUUUGUUUCAUUGGAUUUAUUUUAUAUUCAUUUAUUUUUUUUUAAUUGAUCUAUCACACCCUGAAGCAAGGAUCUUACUCCGGAUAAAAUAACUUCAUAGAUGGUAUUCAAUUUUUUUUCUCAAAAUUAUGAUUAUUUUUUGUUUUAUUCUUUAAUAUUAUACUACACGUAUUUACAUUCACAAAUAUAUUUAUUUCUCUUGUUUAGAUAUCAGUUAACUUUAUGGUGCGCUGAUUAUUUUGAAAAAUGAGCGAGUCAUCUUCGAAAUUUCCCUAUAUAUAUAAAAAAUUUCAUAGAAAUCAUUUAAAGGAACAUGCUCACAAGCCUGAAAUCUUCAUUUUAUCACAAUUGAUCUAAGAAAUUGAUCGCGAGAAAGAUGUUCUUGGAAAUAACGGUAAUGUUGAGAAGAAGUUCCGUAGAAUGAGUAUGGAGGUACUUAUCUGGCAUUGACAAUGAGCCACAAUCUUGUGGUGUUGUGUUACACCUGUCGGACUAUCCGUGUGUUUAAGUCGCAUGUAAUUAACGCGACUCGACAGAUAUUCCCAGAUAGUGACAUAGCGUUAAUUGGUACUGAUUCGCAACAUCCAGUUCAAGGUCAUCGAUAAUUAGUUCAUGAUUUGGUCGCAGAUGGAGACCAAAAAGGAAACGAUUGCCAAGGAAUCUAGAGAGGGGUGCAGCUUUUCAUGUAGCGUACAUAAUUCCCCCUUGACUACUUCUGCAUCCAGAUCCUUCACCGUCUUCCAGACUUUAAGAUCCGUCCACAACGAAUGAUCUCAAUUUUCCUCCUAAAUCUUUUCUCCUAAACUUGGAACUUCGAGAUUUAAAAUUCAAAUUCACGAUGAAUUUGUUUUUGAACAAUAUUCAAGGGUCCAGAUCGUAAAGCAUAAUCGGUCAGUUGGAAACAGUACCUAACAUCCCUUAGGGCCGCGUGAGGAGAAAUGCAGAGGCCAUUCAACUGUCUACGAGCGAAGCAGGCAGGGGAUUUUUACAACGCCCGACUCUCUACCUACUCUCCUGUAUUCUUCUUGCUCUUCUUCCCUCUCUUCGUCUUCUUCGUCCUUUUCUUCGUCUUGUUUCUUAUAGGAUAGCCUCGGCCUUCUUUUUCUAUGCCCUCCUGAUCUCUCUACCCGGCAACGGCGUGGCGAAUCAGGGAAUCUCAUGCGUGAGAAAUUCGAACCUAAGAACCUUCGAAAUAUAUGAAAUUUGAUAUGAAGAAUAUUGUUUCUAAAUAAUAAUUUUAGAAUAUGCCUUAUAUAACCUAUUGAAUAUCCAUUCAAUAGGUUUAUUAAUUUUCAACGAGUUUGACAAUUAUCGGUAUUCGUUAUCUUUUGAUAAAAAUGAUGAAAUUGUCGUCAUAAGUUUACUAAAUAAUCAACGAUUUUAAUGGUCAAUUUAUUGACUUAAACGAAUCUUUUAAUUUCAUUAAUAUUCUCUUUUUAUUUUUCUUUUCUUCAGUUUGGUGAUAAAUGAACAUUAUUGGUCAAGAAACAUUGAAAAAAAUAGAAAUAAUAAAUAUAUGUAUUUAAUUAUGUAAUCAAAAGUAAUUCUUCAUUAAUUUUCAGGUGCGGUUACAGUACUUUUCAAUGGACAAAAGCAAGCAGGAAAAAGAAAGUUAGGAAUACAGCGCGGAACAAUCCAGUGAUAGCCGUUAUCAGCUAUACUUGAUGAUACUAACCCGUAGAUCCGAACUUGUGGGCUUUUUUAUAUGUAUACCGCAAGCUCCUAUCUACCGGUACAUGUAGUCAGGCCAGCAUUUAAGCUUUUCAACGGAACCUCCUCCUUCUCCUUCACACCCUUCUGCCCUCCUGAAAGCCCGCAGCACUUCCGGUUAUCAACGCAUAUACUUCUUGUCAAGUAAUUUUCUCGAUAGAAUAAGAGAGUGAGAGAUAGAAAGAAAUAGAGAGAGCGAAAGAGAGAGAGAGAGAGAGAGAGAGAGAGAGAGAGAGAGAGAGAGAAAGAGUACCAAUAAAAAAAUUAUGACGAGAGAAUAAGAAAAGAGUAAUAUCUAUCUGUGAUAUUAUCUAUUUCGUUUUAGCAAUCGAUUGAUUUUCAAAAAAAUGAAUUGCAUGCUAUUUUUGCAAAAUUAAAACGAAAAACUAUUUAGAAUACAAAAAGCGAGAUGUGUUUGUUGAUAAAAUUAUGAUAAAAUUAUUUAAUUAAAUUAUUUAAUUUAAAACUUUAUAUUUUAAGAUUAAAUAAGAUUUUAAAGAUAUUUUCAAGAUUGUUAAUUUUUUUAUUUUAUAUGAGUUAUAAACUCGUUAUUAUGAAGCGUAAUUAUAAAUAUCCAUAGAGAGGAUGAUGACGAAGAGAACAACUACAUUAGCGACGAUGCCUGGGUGAGGUAGUAGGUUGUAUAGUAGGGAAUGGAAAUUCGCGAUAUACGAAGUCCACUGUACAACUUGCUAACUUUCCCGGUCGUCGACGCCGCAACAUUUCAUCAUUCAACAGCAUCAUCAAGAAGAUAAUAAUCAUAUUUUUCUCUAAAAAAAAAAAAAAAAAAAAGAAAAAGAAAAAAGAAAUACGCAAAAUUUAUCAAAACAUAUGCAUAUUGAUAACUGCGUGUAUGCUGAGUGCAUAUAGUUUUGUUAAAGAAGAACAAAGAAGAUCUACCACCAUAAAUGAUAGAUACUAUAUAAGUUAUUACAUUAUAUAUUUCCAGUAAUUGUAAUAUAAUUAUAUACAUUGGCGAGGAGAUAAUAGAACCAUAAAAGGUGAUGCCUCCUCUUACAUGAAAAUGUAAGUGUAUGGAUGUAUGUGCAAUUAGAAGCGAAUAAAAAGGGAGAAAAAAUGAAAUGAGAAAAAGGGCAAUGGCGGGCGGGCUGAUUGUAAAGCCUGCCGCGUCGCCGGU